GCAAUUGAGCCUGCAUGCAAUCGAACCGACGUCUGGCCUAUCAGAGCACGGCCUGUCUGUCAUGUGAUCCAAGAGAUCGGCACGGAUAUUGUGAAGGUGACUGCCAGGGGAAACGAAGGCGCUCCGGUCGAAACAGGAAAGAGAAUCGCGCCAUUGUCUAAAAUCUGUUUACCUCUGGGAUCAGAGGGACCGGGAGGGAAAGCCGCCUCAGAACAAAGUCAGGAUUCCGUCCCGAAUGAACCGGUCACCAGUUAAGCUCCUCCCCCGUCCCGCCCGACCUCCAGACGGUCUGAAGGGGGACGGCGGCGUCACGGGGGAAAACGCUCCCCGGGAAACGCGGCCGCUCCGCCGUCUCCAGAAUUCAGAGCGCUGCAGAGCCGAGUCUCCUCCUCCAGACGGGACCAACUCAGGGUCAACACGUCCCGGGAUGUGAGGGGAACAAACUCCCGCCGGCUUCGUCUGAUCCCCGACCACAGACACGACAUCACCUGUUCGAGGCAUCGACCUCAAAUCCUUUUCACAAAUGCUCAGAUUUUUUGUCUUUGACCUCCUGGAAGUUUUCCUUUUUUUAAAAGUCUGGGUUCAGUUCCUCUCAUCAUAAAACAACUGCCGGCUCGUGGCCUCUUAUGUUCCCUGUCUCCUCUAGUCUGCUGUUUUGUUCUGAGCUGUUUAUCUUGUAAAGCACUUUGUGACCUUGUCUAGAAAAAAGUGCGACAGAUGAU